rnacentral:lncRNA from 12 species
CAGUGGGUCCCCAGUGUCCCCAGUGGGUCCCCAGUGUCCCCAGUGGGUCCCCAGUGUCCCCAGUGGGUCCCCAGUGUCCCCAGUGGGUCCCCAGUGUCCCCAGUGGGUCCCCAGUGUCCCCAGUGGGUCCCCAGUGUCCCCAGUGGGUCCCCAGUGUCCCCAGUGGGUCCCCAGUGUCCCCAGUGGGUCCCCAGUGUCCCCAGUGGGUCCCCAGUGUCCCCAGUGGGUCCCCAGUGUCCCCAGUGGGUCCCCAGUGUCCCCAGUGGGUCCCCAGUGUCCCCAGUGGGUCCCCAGUGUCCCCAGUGGGUCCCCAGUGUCCCCAGUGGGUCCCCAGUGUCCCCAGUGGGUCCCCAGUGUCCCCAGUGGGUCCCCAGUGUCCCCAGUGGGUCCCCAGUGUCCCCAGUGGGUCCCCAGUGUCCCCAGUGGGUCCCCAGUGUCCCCAGUGGGUCCCCAGUGUCCCCAGUGGGUCCCCAGUGUCCCCAGUGGGUCCCCAGUGUCCCCAGUGGGUCCCCAGUGUCCCCAGUGGGUCCCCAGUGUCCCCAGUGGGUCCCCAGUGUCCCCAGCCCCCCGCUGCCGUUUCCUCUCCCUGCCCUGGGACGGAUUCCAGAGUUUCUCCGAAGGGUUCCCACGCCUGGAAUGUCCAAAAUCCUCCCCGGGGGAUGGAGCAGCGCUGGGCACGCUCUGCUGCUGCUGCUGGGGGUGGGAGCUGCAGCUCCCAGUGCUCCCAGUAACAGCUCCCAGUAACAGCUCCCAGUGCCCCCAGUAACAGCUCCCAGUUAUCCCAGUAACAGCUCCCAGUGCUCCCAGUAACCCCCAGUGCCCUCAGUGGUCCCAGUGCUUCCCAGUGCUCCCAGUUCACUCCCAGUGCUCCCCGCCCUCCGAAUAUUUUAUUUAGUUAAUUAGCUUUAGGUUUUAGCUUCGAGACUUAAUUACCCUGAGAAGAAGCCCCUCCUGUAUAUUUAUGCAAGGUAGGAAAAAGCAAUUAAUCCUAAAAUAAAGUUUAAAAUAAAAUCCCUCUGGGUUUUAGGGUUUGGGGGUUUUAAGGAACUUUUUGGGUUCCUCCACUCCUCCUUUUUGGGCUGGAAAAGCUCAGCCUGAACGACAAAAAAAAAAAAUCAGUGGAAAAGGAGAAUCUGGAAAAUUAUCUCUGGACUGAGAAAUAGCCCUGGACUCAAAAAUAAGCUGGACCCCAAAAUCAGCCUCGGACCCCAAAAUCAGCCUUGGACCCUAAAAACUGCCUUGGACCCUAAAAACAGCCCUGGGCUAAAAGAGUAUCUCUGGACCCAAAAAACAAAAUGGACCCAAAAAUCAGUCUGGACCCCAAAAACAGCCCUGGACUAAAAGAGUAGCUCUGGACUAAAAUAUAGCCCUGGACUAAAGUAUAGCUCUGGACCCAAAAAUAAGCUGGACCCCAAAAUCAGCCUGGACCCAAAAAACAGCCUUGGACUAAAAAAAUAGCCUGGACCCAAAACCAGCCCUGGAUUAAAAAAUUAUCUCUGGACUAAGAAAUAGCCCUGGACUAAAAAAGUAGCUCUGGACCCCAGAACAAACUGGACCCAAAAAACAGCCCUGGACUAAAAGAAGUAGUUCUGGACUAAAAGGUAGCCCUGGACUAAAAAACAAGCUGGACCCCAAAAACCAGCCCUGGAAUGAAAAAGCUGCCUGGACCCAAAACCAGCCCUGGACUAAAAGAGUAGCUCUGGAUUAAAAAAUA